rnacentral:rRNA from 1 species
AUUGAACGCUGGCGGCAUGCCUUACACAUGCAAGUCGAACGGCAGCGGGGGAGAAGCUUGCUUUUCCUGCCGGCGAGUGGCGAACGGGUGAGUAAUACAUCGGAACGUGCCCUGUAGUGGGGGAUAACUAGUCGAAAGAUUAGCUAAUACCGCAUACGACCUGAGGGUGAAAGUGGGGGACCGCAAGGCCUCAUGCUAUAGGAGCGGCCGGUGUCUGAUUAGCUAGUUGGUGAGGUAAAGGCUCACCAAGGCGACGAUCAGUAGCUGGUCUGAGAGGACGACCAGCCACACUGGGACUGAGACACGGCCCAGACUCCUACGGGAGGCAGCAGUGGGGAAUUUUGGACAAUGGGCGCAAGCCUGAUCCAGCAAUGCCGCGUGAGUGAAGAAGGCCUUCGGGUUGUAAAGCUCUUUUGUCAGGGAAGAAACGGCCGAGGCGAAUACCUUUGGCUAAUGACGGUACCUGAAGAAUAAGCACCGGCUAACUACGUGCCAGCAGCCGCAGUAAAAC